UUUGACUUUGGUGCUGGGGGUGAUGGAUUGACCCAGAAUGGGCGGGGGCAUCCAUGUUGUUGCGGGAUGAAUCUUCAGAUUGGCCUGAAACAGGAGAAGUUCUGUU